GUAACACGUGGGUGAUCUGCCUUGCACUCUGGGAUAAGCUUGGGAAACUGGGACUAAUACCGGAUAGGAACCGUCUUUAGUGUGGUGGUUGGAAAGUUUUUUCGGUGCAAGAUGAGCUCGCGGCCUAUCAGCUUGUUGGUGGGGUAAUGGCCUACCAAGGCGUCGACGGGUAGCCGGCCUGAGAGGGUGUACGGCCACAUUGGGACUGAGAUACGGCCCAG
rnacentral:rRNA from 1 species